rfam:Oryza rufipogon genomic scaffold, chr03
AAAAAAAUAAACCCUGGGUUUUCACGUCCAAUAUUUGACUGUUUGUCUUAUGUGAAAUUUUUUUUAUAAUUAGUAUUUUUAUUGUUGUUAGAUGAUAGAACAUGAUUAAUAUUUUAUGCGCGACUUGUCUUUUAAUUUUUUUUUCAUAUUUUUUUCAAAUAAGACGGACGGUCAAACGUUGGACACGGAAAUCAAGGGUUUGUCUUUUU